GACGAACGCUGGCGGCGUGCUUAACACAUGCAAGUCGAACGGUAAGGCCCUGCUUGGAUCUUACUCAACUGUCGAACGCGUGAGUAACACAUGGGUGAACUCCCCUUCACUUCCGGGUAAGCGUGGUGAACUCGGUCUAUUACCCGGUAUGCGACCUUCUUAGUCUUCUUGUUCAGCAGGUACUUCGGUCAGGGAUGAGCUCGCGGCCUAUCAGCUAGUUGGUUGGGUAACGGCUUACCAAGGCGGCGACGGGUAGCCGGCCUGCGAGGGUGACCGGCCACACUGGGACUGAGACACGGCCCAGACUCCUACGGGAGGCAGCAGUGGGGAAUAUUGCACAAUGGGCGAAAGCCUGAUGCAGCAACGCCGCGUGAGGGACGACGGCCUUCGGGUUGUAAACCUCUUUUAGCAGGGAAGAAGCGAAAGUGACGGUACCUGCAGAAAAAGCGCCGGCUAACUACGUG
rnacentral:rRNA from 1 species